UGGGGAAUAUUGCACAAUGGGCGCAAGCCUGAUGCAGCCAUGCCGCGUGUGUGAAGAAGGCCUUCGGGUUGUAAAGCACUUUCAGCGAGGAGGAAGGUGGUGAGCUUAAUACGCUCAUCAAUUGACGUUACUCGCAGAAGAAGCACCGGCUAACUCCGUGCCAGCAGCCGCGGUAAUACGGAGGGUGCAAGCGUUAAUCGGAAUUACUGGGCGUAAAGCGCACGCAGGCGGUUUGUUAAGUCAGAUGUGAAAUCCCCGGGCUCAACCUGGGAACUGCAUUUGAAACUGGCAAGCUAGAGUCUCGUAGAGGGGGGUAGAAUUCCAGGUGUAGCGGUGAAAUGCGUAGAGAUCUGGAGGAAUACCGGUGGCGAAGGCGGCCCCCCUGGACGAAGACUGACGCUCAGGUGCGAAAGCGUGGGGCAGCAAACAGGAUUAGAUACCCUGGUAGUCCACGCUGUAAACGAUGUCGAUUUGGAGGUUGUGCCC
rnacentral:rRNA from 1 species